CAGCAGUCGCCGCGGUAAUACGUAGGUGGCAAGCGUUGUCCGGAAUUAUUGGGCGUAAAGGGCUCGCAGGCGGUUUCUUAAGUCUGAUGUGAAAGCCCCCGGCUCAACCGGGGAGGGUCAUUGGAAACUGGGAAACUUGAGUGCAGAAGAGGAGAGUGGAAUUCCACGUGUAGCGGUGAAAUGCGUAGAGAUGUGGAGGAACACCAGUGGCGAAGGCGACUCUCUGGUCUGUAACUGACGCUGAGGAGCGGAAGCGUGGGGAGCGAACAGGAUUAGAUACCCCGGUAGUCCCUGUCUCUUAUAC
rnacentral:rRNA from 1 species